rnacentral:rRNA from 1 species
GACGGAGGAUGCAAGCGUUAUCCGGAAUGAUUGGGCGUAAAGCGUCCGCAGGUGGCAGUUCAAGUCUGCUGUCAAAGCGUCUGGCUCAACCAGAUAAAGGCAGUGGAAACUACAUAGCUAGAGUAAGGUAGGGGUAGAGGGAAUUCCUGGUGUAGCGGUGAAAUGCGUAGAGAUCAGGAAGAACACCGGUGGCGAAAGCGCUCUGCUGGACCUUAACUGACACUGAGGGACGAAAGCUAGGGGAGCGAAUGGG